CAUUUGUUUUUCCUGCUCAGUCUGAUCUCUGUCUUCUCAGCUGUAAAUCUCGCCGUCUGUCUUUUGUUUUUUUGUAUUUCUCUUCCUGCUCGGCCUCCAGACCAGCAAUCUGAUUGGAUUUGGAGAGUUUGACGUUCAGAUGAGCGCAGACUUUCCUGACCAGAACUAAAGAUCAGCUCCUCAUCCUCUUGUUACCAGUGUACUCUUCAUGUCUUUGUUUAAUGCAGAGACUAAAGCCCCAUUUGGACGGGAUUAACUGUACGGGAGGAGGUGGGGACUUAAAUCUUCACUGUGGUCUUCUGUAAUGUAACCUCCAUAACUCUGCUAAGAAGUCAGAAAAAAGACACUUGUGUUUGUGCAGAACUUGCUUUUGGAACUUGUUUGUAACUUUUCUUCAGUAUCACAGUGAUCCAGUGACAGCUGUCUGUACGCCCAUGGGUUCACUGCAGACAGGAGAUGAUCGCAGCUAAUUCUGCAUACUUAGAAUAAAAAUAUGUGAAUAAAUGUAUAUGCUGUGAUUACUGCAGGUAUGGGUGGGUGGGCCAGGUAUUGUUAAACUAGCCCACCUCCUCUAAAAAAGAUCCAGUCCAAAUGGAGCUGAAGUCGGGUUUAGACGGGAUCUGUCACUUUAUUUUUGUACAUACAUCUGUUUUUAUUAAGUCCAUAAUACUCCCUGCUGUAAAACAGUGAAAAUAAAGAAUAUGAUUCUGCGUGCCUCCUUAAAUUUGCCAUAAAAUCACAUUGAUCAUUUUUAAACUUUAUUCAAACGUUGACAGAAUAUUAUGACAACGUUUCACAAUAAGACAUGAAAACAACAACGUGUCAGAUUGACUAUCGAUCCGUUCCAAAUGACAGUCAAUACAGCGCAUGCUCGGAUUUCCUCGAGUCCCCUCCCACACACAAACACACAACAGGAUUUCUGACCGUAAAUACCCUAAUAAACACGUGUAACAUUUGUCAGAGCGGCCGGGGAGCGUAAAAUCAUUCUUAAUCCACCUGAAACCACAGGAAACUCCGGCAGGAUCACCGUUAGAGCCAUCAUAGCGCCACAUUAUUGUUCAAGGAUUUUUACUAAAGAUAUUUGCUUUCAGGGUCAAUAAAAUGAAUUAAACCCAUAUCCUACCUAACCUUACUGAUAGCAAUGUAAAGAUGAAACACUAGGGGGCGCAAACGAAAAGCAGAGUUUGACUAAGUUGAACAAACACCUGUCAGCGCCGUGACACCAGAGUGUUGUAUGGAGCGGGUUGAAGCAACAGAGAGGGAACAGGAAUAUUUCAUCAUAAAGAUCGUUUCUCAGCAGGUUUUCAUUCAAAUAAAACAUUCUGACCAUCACAACUGAAUCUGAUUUAAUCAUUCCAACCCUCACAUAACUUUUGUUGUGAUCUGGCGUUAUAUAAACUGAGAUUGUGGUUAGGGUUAGGGUUAGGGGUGCGGGGGUGCGGGGUGGGGGUUGCACGGGAGGGGGAAGAGGGAAGAGGGGUGGGGGGUUCUUUUAUUUUAUUUUUUAACUUUCAGGCUGUGGAGCAGGAGACGCUCAAAGAAAAGUUGGCCCAUAAACUCAUAGCAAUCAUUUUUAAUUGAGAACAGCUGCAGCUUUCUUCUGAUUUCUCUGAUGAUGUCAAGUCAAUAUUUAUUUAUACAGCGUCAAAUCAUAACAGACGUCAUCUCGAGGCGCUGUACACACAGAGCAGGUUUACACCGUGCUCUUUAUAUUAUAAUAUUUAUAAGGAGACCCAACAAUUCAAACCAUGAGCAAGCGUGGUGUGUUCAUGAAACGGUCAAAGACUUUAAAGUGGGGAUGAAGUCAGUCAGAGUAUUACAAGAAACACAGAGCCUUCGGCAGCUCAACACAAACUAAGGUGGAGAUCACCUGAAACCCCCCUCUGUUCUCUACUUGACUUGGUACAGUCCAGUCAGACACUUUGUCAGAUUUGAGCGACAACCUCCGAGUGUCGUUUGAAUCAAGAGAAAUACGUGACAAAGUGUUAAAUGCAACACAAAUAUAAAACAAACUGACUGUUCUGCAAACGUCUGUGGAUUUAUAUGUUGUCCGCAGCAGUUCACACAAUAAAACAUCGAUCUUAUAGUGAUUUAUUCACGGGACAUUUUGUUUGGGGGAAUCACACACGUGUCAGAAACGGGAUUCGAUUCCCAUGAGACCUGCACAGAGUGAGGUCCAGCCGCCCCCCUCCUCUCCCCAGUGCACUGCCCCCCUCCCCCCACGCUCUCGUCUAUAUAAGGCGCGCCGGAAACAGCGACUUCCUCUUUGACACCCGGCGCGCGCAGACGGAGCCAGCGAGAACUGCUGCACGUGGUACAAACAUUUGAAACGGGAGGUGAGG